rnacentral:rRNA from 1 species
AUUGAACGCUGGCGGCAGGCCUAACACAUGCAAGUCGAACGGUAGCACAGAGAGCUUGCUCUCGGGUGACGAGUGGCGGACGGGUGAGUAAUGUCUGGGAAACUGCCCGAUGGAGGGGGAUAACUACUGGAAACGGUAGCUAAUACCGCAUAAUGUCGCAAGACCAAAGAGGGGGACCUUCGGGCCUCUUGCCAUCGGAUGUGCCCAGAUGGGAUUAGCUUGUAGGUGAGGUAACGGCUCACCUAGGCGACGAUCCCUAGCUGGUCUGAGAGGAUGACCAGCCACACUGGAACUGAGACACGGUCCAGACUCCUACGGGAGGCAGCAGUGGGGAAUAUUGCACAAUGGGCGCAAGCCUGAUGCAGCCAUGCCGCGUGUAUGAAGAAGGCCUUCGGGUUGUAAAGUACUUUCAGCGGGGAGGAAGGGAGUGAGGUUAAUAACCUUAUUCAUUGACGUUACCCGCAGAAGAAGCACCGGCUAACUCCGUGCCAGCAGCCGCGGUAAUACGGAGGGUGCAAGCGUUAAUCGGAAUUACUGGGCGUAAAGCGCACGCAGGCGGUCUGUCAAGUCGGAUGUGAAAUCCCCGGGCUCAACCUGGGAACUGCAUUCGAAACUGGCAGGCUGGAGUCUUGUAGAGGGGGGUAGAAUUCCAGGUGUAGCGGUGAAAUGCGUAGAGAUCUGGAGGAAUACCGGUGGCGAAGGCGGCCCCCUGGACAAAGACUGACGCUCAGGUGCGAAAGCGUGGGGAGCAAACAGGAUUAGAUACCCUGGUAGUCCACGCUGUAAACGAUGUCGACUUGGAGGUUGUUCCCUUGAGGAGUGGCUUCCGGAGCUAACGCGUUAAGUCGACCGCCUGGGGAGUACGGCCGCAAGGUUAAAACUCAAAUGAAUUGACGGGGGCCCGCACAAGCGGUGGAGCAUGUGGUUUAAUUCGAUGCAACGCGAAGAACCUUACCUACUCUUGACAUCCAGAGAACUUAGCAGAGAUGCUUUGGUGCCUUCGGGAACUCUGAGACAGGCGCUGCAUGGCUGUCGUCAGCUCGUGUUGUGAAAUGUUGGGUUAAGUCCCGCAACGAGCGCAACCCUUAUCCUUUGUUGCCAGCGGUCCGGCCGGGAACUCAAAGGAGACUGCCAGUGAUAAACUGGAGGAAGGUGGGGAUGACGUCAAGUCGUCAUGGCCCUUACGAGUAGGGCUACACACGUGCUACAAUGGCAUAUACAAAGAGAAGCGACCUCGCGAGAGCAAGCGGACCUCAUAAAGUAUGUCGUAGUCCGGAUUGGAGUCUGCAACUCGACUCCAUGAAGUCGGAAUCGCUAGUAAUCGUGGAUCAGAAUGCCACGGUGAAUACGUUCCCGGGCCU